CCUCCUCAUAAUCCUUCUCGAGGGCAGCCAUGUCCUCACGGGCCUCAGAAAACUCUCCUUCCUCCAUGCCCUCACCCACAUACCAGUGAACAAAGGCAUGCUUGGCAUAUAUUAGGUCAAACUUCUGGUCCAGGGGAGUCCAGGCCUCAGCAAGGGCUGUGGUGUUGUUCAGCAUGUGCACAACUCACUUUACUUUGGCCAGGUCUCUAUCAGGUACCACAGUGGGCGGCUGGUAAUUAAUGCCAACUUGGAAGUCAAUGGGUCACCAGUCCACAAACUGGGUGGUACUCUUGGUCUUGAUAGUGGCAAUGUCAGCAUUGACAUCUUUGGGAACCACAUCACCACAGUACCACAGGCAGCGAGCCACGUAUUUACCAUAGCAAGGGUCAUGUUUCACCAUUUGGUUGGCUGGCUCAAAGCAUGCCUUGGUGGUGGUGAUCUCUGCUACAGAAAGCUGUUCAUGGUAGGCUUUCUCAGUCAAGAUGACAGGGGCAUAUGUGGCCAGAGGGAAGUAGAUGCGGGGAUAGGGCACUAGGUUGGUCUGGAAUUCUGUCAGAUCAACAUUCAGGGCUCCAUCAAAUCUGAGGGAAGCAGUGAUGGAGGACACAAUUUGGCUUAUCAGCCUAUUCAGGUUAGUGUAUUUUGGGCAUUCAAUACCAAGGUUUAUUCGACAGACGUCAUAGAUGUGGCCCCAUUGUCUAACAUGAAUCAGAGUGCUCCAAGGUGGUGUGGGUAGUGAGGAUGGAGUUGUAGGGCUCAACAACAACAGUGGAAACAUGGGGGGGCUGGGUAAAUGGAGAACCCCAGCUUGGACUUCUUGCCAUAAUUGACAAAGAGAUGUUCCAUCAGCAGGGAGGUGAA
rnacentral:lncRNA from 1 species